rnacentral:rRNA from 1 species
AAUCAACGCUGGCGGCGUGCCUCAGACAUGCAAGUCGAAACGCGAAAGGUUCCUUCGGGAACCGAGUAGAGUGGCGCACGGGUGAGUAACACGUAGGUAAUUUGCCUUUGGGUGGGGAAUAACAGCCGGAAACGGCUGCUAAUACCGCAUAAUGCAGCGGCUCGACAUCGAGACAGUUGUUAAAGCGGGGGAUCGCAAGACCUCGCGCCUAAAGAGAAGCCUGCGGCAGAUAGCUAGUUGGUAGGGUAAUGGCCUACCAAGGCGACGAUCUGUAACCGGCCUGAGAGGGCGGUCGGUCACACUGACACUGACAUACGGGUCAGACUCC